rnacentral:rRNA from 1 species
UGGGGAAUUUUGGACAAUGGGGGCAACCCUGAUCCAGCAAUGCCGCGUGAGUGAAGAAGGCCUUCGGGUUGUAAACCUCUUUCAGUAGGGAAGAAGCGAAAGUGACGGUACCUACAGAAGAAGCACCGGCUAACUAUGUG